rfam:Oryza nivara chromosome 6, whole genome shotgun sequence.
UGGCCACAUGAUGUUUGUAUCACCACCCAUCUGAAGCAGUCUGAAUGUCAGUCUGCAUGUGCAGAAAUGUGAUAUUCUGAUGGCUA